ensembl:rRNA 5S_rRNA 5S ribosomal RNA
CUCUAUGGCCAUGUUACCCUGAACAAGCCCGAUCCCAUCUGAUCUCAGAAGCUAAGCAGUGUGUCAGGCCUGGUUAGUACUUGGAUGGGAGAUCACCUAGGAAAUCCAGGUAUUGUAAGUG